rnacentral:tRNA from 1 species
GCCGCCCGUACAUACGCCGCGACCAAGAGAUCGUCUGCGCUCCUGACCGCUGCCCUCCGAAGGCAAAGGUCACACGUUCGAAUCGUGUCGGGUGCACCA